rnacentral:rRNA from 1 species
GACAUAGGUGGCGAACGUAUCCGGAAUUAUUGGGCGUAAAGGAUGCGUAGAUGGUAGAAUAAGUUACUGGUCGAUGCCAAACUCAAUUUGACGGAAGCUGGUAAUACUGUUCUGCUAGAGGGCAGGAGAGGUUGAUGGAAUUCUGUGUGGAGCGGUGAAAUGCGCAGAUAUCAGGAGGAACACCGGUGGCGAAGGCGGGUCUCUGGGCCGAUACUGACGCUGGAGGAGCGAAAAGCGUGGGGAGCAACAGG